GCGCGAUUGGUGUAAUGGUAACAUCAUGCCCUUCCAAGGCAUUGUAGCGGGUUCGAGUCUCGUAUCGCGCU
rnacentral:tRNA from 1 species